AAAAGCAUCACUCUCAUCUUUUUGAGGAGUAAGGUAUGAGUUUAAGUUUAAGUUUAAGUUUAAAUUGAAAGUUGAGUUAGUUUCGAGGACGAAACUCUUUUUAAGGAGGGGAGGAUGUAAGGAAGGAAGAAACUUAAUAUGUAAAUCUGGAACUUCGAUCGAAAUUGAUCGAAAUUGAGUUCGGGACGCUUCGGAAAGGCCGAAGGCGU
rnacentral:lncRNA from 1 species